rnacentral:rRNA from 1 species
UACGGGGGGAGCAAGCGUUGUUCGGAUUUACUGGGCGUAAAGGGCGGGUAGGCGGCCACCGCAAGUCAGUUGUGAAAUCUCCGGGCUUAACCCGGAAAGGUCAACUGAUACUGCGGGGCUAGAGUGCAGAAGGGGCAACUGGAAUUCUCGGUGUAGCGGUGAAAAUGCGUAGAUAUCGAGAGGAACACCUGCGGCGAAGGCGGGUUGCUGGGCUGACACUGACGCUGAACUGCGAAAGCUAGGGGAGCGAACGGG